UGAAUAUCAAUCGGUCAAAGAUGGUAAAGUUUGCAAGUAUUCGUGGGGUUUUGCCGGUGCUGGUAAUAAAUAGCCAUCAGGGUCUAAUACGUCUGGUGUACGAAUGGUGACCGGACCUUGAGGUGGUCUUGGAUCAGUUUUCCAACAUUCUCGCAUUAUUUGGCAGACAAAUGGUGGACAUCCUUCCGGAGGUAUAAGCAUUAUGCCUUGAAAAAUUAGCUUCACUACCUGAAGGUAUCACGAUAAUUUAAUAAAGCGUUUAUCUUUUCAUUUCAAUACGAAAUAAGAUUAUUGCAACAUACAGAAAGAAAAACGAUAACUAUAAAGAAGUUUCUAUUUCUUGUGUGAAGCUUAUGUGUGCAAUAAUUGAUUUUAAAUAAGUAGUAAAGUAACAUAAAAGCGGGGCAUGAUGAUAUUUAUCAUGAACUAAUUACAUAUGUUAUUAUAAAUCUAGAUUUUUUUACUGUAAAUUAUAUUAUUAAUCUUAGAAUAAUAAUUGGAAUAAUUUUUAUCAUUCUAACAAUAUAUUGUAUGGAUAUAUACUAUAUGGUAAUACAGUGUAUCAUGGCAAUGUUAAUACUCAUUUUAGAUGCAAAUAUAAUGAUAAAAGUGUGUAAUUUUAAUCACUUUAAAAUAACAAAUUUCUCUGUAUAAUUGAUUGUGUAUAAUUUUACUUACUUCUUCAUUAUUAUGUCCGUAAUAUGGUUGUUUCCCAAAGGAAUAGACUUCCCAUAGAACAACGCCGAAACUCCAUACGUCACUUUCCAAUGUGAAUCGUCCGUACAUUACGCUUUCCGGUGACAUCCAACGGAUUGGUAAAAGUCUAGAACCUUUUAUCUGAAGAAGAAUAAAGAUCUUGUUUUAUUUAUUCUAUAUAAAAAUAUUUGUGA